UUUUCUUUGGACUCAGUUGGUUAGAACGUGGUGCUGAUAACUCCAGGGUUGCAGGUUUGAUCCCCGUAAGGGACA